rnacentral:misc_RNA from 1 species
GAUGAAGAACGUAGCGAAAUGCGAUAAGUAAUGUGAAUUGCAGAAUUCAGUGAAUCAUCGAAUCUUUGAACGCACAUUGCGCCCCCCAGUAUUCUGGCGGGCAUGCCUGUUCGAGCGUCAUUUCAACCAUCAAGCCCUGCUUGUGUUGGGGUCCUGCGGCUGCCCGCAGGCCCUGAAAACCAGUGGCGGGCUCGCUAGUCACACCGAGCGCAGUAGCACAUCUCGCUCAGGGCGUGCGGCGGGCUCCAGCCGUUAAAGCACCCACCUUGCGCAAGGUUGACCUCGGAUCAGGUAGGAAUACCCGCUGAACUUAAGCAUAUCAAUAAGCGGAGGA